UUUUAUUUGUUGUUCUAGACAACUGCUGUAAAUCUGGUGAGUAACGUAAAUAACUAUUGUGUCAAUUUUUGUUUCCUUUAGUUGGACACAUGGGUAUUGAAGUAGUAUUAGUUUUCUUCAGUUCAUUGACAGUGUGUUUAAUUUUAAAUUUUAAUUUUAAAUUUUAAUGAAAAAAAAGUUAAUUUCACUUAAUAAAAACUGUGAUAUGAACUCAAAAACUGCAAUUGAUUAACCAUUAUUUAAACUGAAUAAAUACUGAAUAACUGAAUCCCUCACACACACCGAAAAAAACCCGCGCUUUUAUUUUGACACGCGCCCAUCCCCCCACAUCUCACGGUCGGAGUCAGUUUCACAAAGCAGCGCAGGAGGACGACAGACACUUAAAGAACAUUAACAGUUUAGUUUGAAUCUCUCUCAGUCAGUCAGGGGGAGAUUAACUGACAGACUGUAUAACGUUACACGUCUUACCAAGAAACCUUUUAAAGUUUAGCACAAAUGUUUUCCGUGGAAGUUUGAAUCUCUCUCAGUCAGGGGGGAGAUUGACUGACAGACUGUCUACUUGCCACCAAACAGUAAUUUACCCUGAAACCUUUUUAAGUAAGGACUAACGUAAACUGACUCUCUGUCUGCUCUCAACCAAACAGUCAUUUAAGACCUUCUAAAGCUUAGCGCAAACGUUUCCUGCGCAAGUUUGAAUCUCUCAGUCAGGGGGGAGAUUGACUGACUGACUGACUGACUGUCUACUCGCCACCAAACGUCAAAAGUCAGUUACACAGAAUCCUUUUAAAGUUUAGCACAAACGUUUCCCGCGCAAGUUUGGAUCUUUACCAUUGAGGGUGGCUGACUGUUCUCGACCAACCAUCAUUCACACGCAAAAACUUUAAAGAUAAGUAUGAACAUGCCCAGAGCAGUUUUCGAUCUUUACCAUUAAGGAGGCUGACUGACUAUCGUCUACCACCCGUCAUUAACACAACAAAAACUAAAGAAAUGUUACUCCAUAUGGACCUAUUCAUUUACUCAUUAUGCUGUGAGUACACCACAGUUUUAUCAGGGAAAAAAUUUAUAUUUGUGUGUUUCUCACUGCUUGGCAAGGACAGAUGUGGCCCUGUUAAAAAUGUUUAAAUGUCGUUUGGUUUAAGGAACAGCACAUUGAUUUUGUUUUAAAAUAUUUCUGUUUGGACAGUCUGUUAAAGCCAUAAAGGAAUACUUGAUAUAUUUCAUAAGUAAAGUGUAAAUGUAAUAUUAGUUUUUAAUGUUGUGAAUUUGGACUGAACAGCACACUUCUGUUUUAUAUCUAAACCUUUUGUAAAAUAAAUGAUUGUUCAAUAAACUGUGUAUUUUAUCUUUUCUGUUAUCAUUUUUUAUACUAAUGUUUAAAAUGUACCUUUACGCUGAACGAUUGGCUAAACCAACACAAAUAUAUUGAGUCAUAUGCACUUAUAAUUUAAAGUUUACAGUACUUAGAUUGAGAUAUAUGUAUAAGUUUUAAAACCAUAAUCAAUGAGUGUACCCUGUCAAAGCCGAUUUUGUACCCUUUUUGAAGGGUCCAUAUUUGUACUGUUAAAUAAAGGUACAAAAUUGUCACCAGAGGUACAAAACUGGUCUCUUAAGGUACAAAUCACAAGGGUACAAAUUUGUACCCUCUGCCAAGGGUACAAAAACUGUACCCUUGAGGGUACAGCCCCAGUGACAAGCCAUUGUACCCCUAAAGGUACAAUUAUGUCCUUUC